UAAGCUCAUCAUAUGAUAUGGAUAUCAUCGAAUAAACAAUAAUUAAUGCAUUCCCUGCACAUUUUUUUUGGCUGAUGGAAUUAAGCAACCUUUGAUAAAACUGCCUUUGCUUUGAUUUUUCCCACCUCUUUUUGCUCUUUCUGUUCUUAUAAACAUUUAUACUGGAGAUAUAUUAAAUAAUUUGAGAGCACAACAUGUUGGUUAAGAAGAAAAAUUUGAAGAUUUGUUGGUAGGUUAAAAAAAUUAUUAAAUACAGUUUUCAUGAUACAUAUUAGGUUUUGACCUAUAGUAAAUGUUCCUUGAUAGCCAUGAUCUUUAGGGUUUAUCUUGUUCUGUUGAGAUACUUGUGGAACUAACUGUAGUACUGUCAGUUGAUGCGUGACUAUUGCUAUAUGCAUACUUUUCUGUUAUAUAUUAACUUUCACAUACCUGUCUGCCUUUAUGAGUGUAUACAUAUCUUUUCCCUUCCUUUCUGCAUGUUUUCUUUUGGGAAAAUAUUACCAAAGGUAUUCUUGAUACAAGUCUUUCUGGUUUAGGGACUAAUCCCUCAACUGUUUGAUGAUGUUUAUUGGUUUAUAGUGGUUGAUGAAUAGCCAUUUGUUGAUUAAAUUCACUACAUUUUCCAUAAACCAGAAAUAAUUUUUUUAAGAAUUCCUUCUUUAUGAUUUUUCCGUUUUUUAAAUUGAAGUAAUGUUAUCGUUACAAUGAGUGGCUAGGUGCCUGUAAUUGGGGGAUAUUUUUUUCAAAAAAGAAGAAAACCCCCUUAAAAAUCCCUCCUCAUAUUUGAUAGGGGAGUUCUUUUGUAAAAGGGAUGGGAAAAACACAAAAACCAUGAAAAGUUCCUAUCACAUAGCAACUAUGAAGUACAAACUCCCAUGGAGUUAGGAGGCAUGUUCCUUUGUCUGACACCCGUAUGACACGUGUACUCGUCUCCAACAACUCAAAUGAGUGUCACAAUUUUUUUCCCCAUUCGUGUCAGGUGUCCGUGCUUCAUAAUAUAACAAUAGCAAGGACAUGAAGCACCUUGACAGUAUCACUAAGAAUAACUGCAGCGUCUAAGGACCAAUCUUACAGUAUACCGAACCUGCAAGCAACUUAUUCCAAACAACUGUGCCAACAAACCACCUAGUGGCUGAGAUUUCAACUCUGAAACAGAAAAAAAGAAUCAGGGGAAUGAGGAUAUCUUAAUGAUCUAUAAUAUGUAAUAUAUAAUUAGUAUUAUUCCUAUAAAUUGCCAUUGUCCUAAGUCCUAACAGAAGAAUUGUCCUAAGUCCUAACAGAAGAAUUGUCCUUAGAAGGAGCUUCUAUUUUCCUAAGGGUUUAGUAACAACAUUGGUGUGGAUAGCGGGAUGUCCUGAAAGCAAUAAUAAUUGCCUUUUGUGGUCAAGAUGAUCACACUCUGCCUUUGUCUCUCCA